rnacentral:tRNA from 1 species
GCGGCCUAAACUGUUGAUUUAAUUACUAAUACCCAAUAGUCGUCGUUAUUCCAAAUUCUCGUGGAACCUGAUUGUGGUUCAGGAGGUCGAGGGUUCGAAUCCCUCUAGCCGCCCCA